GACGGAGGGUGCGAGCGUUAAUCGGAUUUACUGGGCGUAAAGGGCGCGUAGGCGGUUAAAUGAGUGUGAUGUGAAAGCCCCGGGCUCAACCUGGGAAGUGCAUCGCAAACGAUUUAACUGGAGUAGAUGAGAGGGUGGUGGAAUUUCCGGUGUAGCGGUGAAAUGCGUAGAGAUCGGAAGGAACGUCAAUGGCGAAGGCAGCCACCUGGCAUCAUACUGACACUGAGGCGCGAAAGCGUGGGUAGCAAAAGGG
rnacentral:rRNA from 1 species